rnacentral:rRNA from 1 species
GGGUUGUGAGGUUAAGCGACUAAGCGUACACGGUGGAUGCCCUGGCAGUCAGAGGCGAUGAAGGACGUGCUAAUCUGCGAAAAGCGUCGGUAAGGUGAUAUGAACCGUUACAGCCGGCGAUGUCCGAAUGGGGAAACCCAGUGCAAUUCGUUGCACUAUCGUUAACUGAAUACAUAGGUUAACGAGGCGAACCGGGGGAACUGAAACAUCUAAGUACCCCGAGGAAAAGAAAUCAACCGAGAUUCCCCCAGUAGCGGCGAGCGAACGGGGAGCAGCCCAGAGUCUGAAUCAGCUUGUGUGUUAGUGGAACGGUCUGGAAAGUCCGACGGUACAGGGUGAUAGUCCCGUACACCAAAAUGCACAGGUUGUGAACUCGAAGAGUAGGGCGGGACACGUGGUAUCCUGUCUGAAUAUGGGGGGACCAUCCUCCAAGGCUAAAUACUCCUGACUGACCGAUAGUGAACCAGUACCGUGAGGGAAAGGCGAAAAGAACCCCGGCGAGGGGAGUGAAAAAGAACCUGAAACCGUGUACGUACAAGCAGUGGGAGCACCUUUAUGGUGUGACUGCGUACCUUUUGUAUAAUGGGUCAGCGACUUAUAUUCUGUAGCAAGGUUAACCGUAUAGGGGAGCCGCAGGGAAACCGAGUCUUAACUGGGCGUUAAGUUGCAGGGUAUAGACCCGAAACCCGGUGAUCUAGCCAUGGGCAGGUUGAAGGUUGGGUAACACUAACUGGAGGACCGAACCGACUAAUGUUGAAAAAUUAGCGGAUGACUUGUGGCUGGGGGUGAAAGGCCAAUCAAACCGGGAGAUAGCUGGUUCUCCCCGAAAGCUAUUUAGGUAGCGCCUCGUGAAUUCAUCUUCGGGGGUAGAGCACUGUUUCGGCUAGGGGGUCAUCCCGACUUACCAACCCGAUGCAAACUACGAAUACCGAAGAAUGUUAUCACGGGAGACACACGGCGGGUGCUAACGUCCGUCGUGAAGAGGGAAACAACCCAGACCGCCAGCUAAGGUCCCAAAGUCAUGGUUAAGUGGGAAACGAUGUGGGAAGGCACAGACAGCCAGGAUGUUGGCUUAGAAGCAGCCAUCAUUUAAAGAAAGCGUAAUAGCUCACUGGUCGAGUCGGCCUGCGCGGAAGAUGUAACGGGGCUAAACCAUGCACCGAAGCUGCGGCAGCGACACGAUGUGUUGUUGGGUAGGGGAGCGUUCUGUAAGCCUGCGAAGGUGACCUGUGAGGGUUGCUGGAGGUAUCAGAAGUGCGAAUGCUGACAUAAGUAACGAUAAAGCGGGUGAAAAGCCCGCUCGCCGGAAGACCAAGGGUUCCUGUCCAACGUUAAUCGGGGCAGGGUGAGUCGACCCCUAAGGCGAGGCCGAAAGGCGUAGUCGAUGGGAAACAGGUUAAUAUUCCUGUACUUGGUGUUACUGCGAAGGGGGGACGGAGAAGGCUAUGUUAGCCGGGCGACGGUUGUCCCGGUUUAAGCAUGUAGGCUGGUUAUCCAGGCAAAUCCGGAUAAUCAAGGCUGAGGUGUGAUGACGAGGCACUACGGUGCUGAAGUAACAAAUGCCCUGCUUCCAGGAAAAGCCUCUAAGCAUCAGGUAACAUCAAAUCGUACCCCAAACCGACACAGGUGGUCAGGUAGAGAAUACCAAGGCGCUUGAGAGAACUCGGGUGAAGGAACUAGGCAAAAUGGUGCCGUAACUUCGGGAGAAGGCACGCUGGUGUGUAGGUGAAGUCCCUGCGGAUGGAGCUGAGACCAGUCGAAGAUACCAGCUGGCUGCAACUGUUUAUUAAAAACACAGCACUGUGCAAACACGAAAGUGGACGUAUACGGUGUGACGCCUGCCCGGUGCCGGAAGGUUAAUUGAUGGGGUUAUCCGUAAGGAGAAGCUCUUGAUCGAAGCCCCGGUAAACGGCGGCCGUAACUAUAACGGUCCUAAGGUAGCGAAAUUCCUUGUCGGGUAAGUUCCGACCUGCACGAAUGGCGUAAUGAUGGCCAGGCUGUCUCCACCCGAGACUCAGUGAAAUUGAACUCGCUGUGAAGAUGCAGUGUACCCGCGGCAAGACGGAAAGACCCCGUGAACCUUUACUAUAGCUUGACACUGAACAUUGAGCCUUGAUGUGUAGGAUAGGUGGGAGGCUUUGAAGCGUGGACGCCAGUCUGCGUGGAGCCAACCUUGAAAUACCACCCUUUAAUGUUUGAUGUUCUAACGUGGGCCCCUAAUCGGGGUUGCGGACAGUGUCUGGUGGGUAGUUUGACUGGGGCGGUCUCCUCCCAAAGCGUAACGGAGGAGCACGAAGGUUAGCUAAUCCUGGUCGGACAUCAGGAGGUUAGUGCAAUGGCAUAAGCUAGCUUGACUGCGAGCGUGACGGCGCGAGCAGGUGCGAAAGCAGGUCAUAGUGAUCCGGUGGUUCUGAAUGGAAGGGCCAUCGCUCAACGGAUAAAAGGUACUCCGGGGAUAACAGGCUGAUACCGCCCAAGAGUUCAUAUCGACGGCGGUGUUUGGCACCUCGAUGUCGGCUCAUCACAUCCUGGGGCUGAAGUAGGUCCCAAGGGUAUGGCUGUUCGCCAUUUAAAGUGGUACGCGAGCUGGGUUUAGAACGUCGUGAGACAGUUCGGUCCCUAUCUGCCGUGGGCGCUGGAGAAUUGAGGGGGGCUGCUCCUAGUACGAGAGGACCGGAGUGGACGCAUCACUGGUGUUCGGGUUGUCAUGCCAAUGGCACUGCCCGGUAGCUAAAUGCGGAAGAGAUAAGUGCUGAAAGCAUCUAAGCACGAAACUUGCCCCGAGAUGAGUUCUCCCUGAGACUUUAAGUCUCCUGAAGGAACGUUGAAGACGACGACGUUGAUAGGCCGGGUGUGUAAGCGCAGCGAUGCGUUGAGCUAACCGGUACUAAUGAACCGUGAGGCUUAACCUUACAACGCCGAAG